GUUCUGGGCCAGCGUGCCCGAGACCAGGCGCGUACACGUGUGUGUGUGUGUGUGUGGUGUGUGUGUAAGAGAGAGGAGCGGAGCCUACCAUGCGCUUCCCUGGUGCGGAUCGCGGGAGAGCCCAAUCACAGGGCGAGCUGGACCUGGCUGUGAUCAUUUAUAAUCCUUGACUCCUCCGCUCCGCCACUUGUCAAGAUGACAGGAGUUAAGAAAGGCAAUAAUAGAGGAGGCAUGAACACACAAGACCUUGGGAAGAGAGGAAUGUGAGCUGUGAAAAACCAAGCAGAAGUGUUUCCAUCUUAAUGGCGCUAUGAGCCGGAGAAGUCGCAGAAAACCAAAGGACUCAAGAGGAGGCACUGCUACCAAGAACUCGUGUCCACCAUGCAUUGGUGAAAGGACAUGAAGGAGCCAUUUUACCAACCUGAACCUUUCUCCAUGGGGCACUGCACAGCUUAACCUCUGAAACUCUGUUGAGCCGUUGAGGGCUCCUAAAGUUUCUUAACAGAGUCCCUCUUUACAGUAAAAACCCUACUUCUCUCUGAGUACAGAGUCAAAGCAGUCCUACAGCACUAACAUUUCAAUUGCUGCAUAUGGAGCCCAGUAAGUAAAGGACCCCCUAAGAGCGGUUAU
rnacentral:lncRNA from 1 species